rnacentral:rRNA from 1 species
AGUGAACGCUGGCGGUAGGCCUAACACAUGCAAGUCGAACGGCAGCACAGUAAGAGCUUGCUCUUACGGGUGGCGAGUGGCGGACGGGUGAGGAAUACAUCGGAAUCUACUUUUUCGUGGGGGAUAACGUAGGGAAACUUACGCUAAUACCGCAUACGACCUACGGGUGAAAGCAGGGGAUCUUCGGACCUUGCGCGAUUGAAUGAGCCGAUGUCGGAUUAGCUAGUUGGCGGGGUAAAGGCCCACCAAGGCGACGAUCCGUAGCUGGUCUGAGAGGAUGAUCAGCCACACUGGAACUGAGACACGGUCCAGACUCCUACGGGAGGCAGCAGUGGGGAAUAUUGGACAAUGGGCGCAAGCCUGAUCCAGCCAUACCGCGUGGGUGAAGAGGGCCUUCGGGUUGUAAAGCCCUUUUGUUGGGAAAGAAAAGCAGCAGGUUAAUACCCCGCUGUUCUGGCGGUACCCAAAGAAUAAGCACCGGCUAACUUCGUG